UAACAAGGUCUCCGUAGGUGAACCUGCGGAGGGAUCAUUACACAAUAAAAUACGAAGGCCGUUCGCGGCUGGACUAUUUAUUACCCUUGUCUUUUGCGCACUUGUUGUUUCCUGGGCGGGUUCGCUCGCCACCAGGACCACAAUAUAAACCUUUUUUAUGCAGUUGCAAUCAGCGUCAGUAUAACAAAUGUAAAUCAUUUACAACUUUCAACAACGGAUCUCUUGGUUCUGGCAUCGAUGAAGAACGCAGCGAAAUGCGAUACGUAGUGUGAAUUGCAGAAUUCAGUGAAUCAUCGAAUCUUUGAACGCACAUUGCGCCCUUUGGUAUUCCAAAGGGCAUGCCUGUUCGAGCGUCAUUUGUACCCUCAAGCUUUGCUUGGUGUUGGGCGUUUUUGUCUUUGGCCCGCCAAAGACUCGCCUUAAAAUGAUUGGCAGCCGGCCUACUGGUUUCGCAGCGCAGCACAUUUUUGCGCUUGCAAUCAGCAAAAGAGGACGGCAAUCCAUCAAGACUCCUUCUCACGUUUGACCUCGGAUCAGGUAGGGAUACCCGCUGAACUUAAGCAUAUC
rnacentral:misc_RNA from 1 species